rnacentral:pre_miRNA from 1 species
GAUGUACUCCCUCCGUCCCAUAUUAAGUGACUCAAAUUUGCCAAGAUAUGGAUGUCUCUAUUCAUAAAAAGCGUGUAGAUACAUGUAAUAAAAAGUUAGUUAAUAUGGGAUGGAGGGAGUAUAUU